GCUCCUGUAGCUCAGUCGGCUAGAGCGGUGUCUUAUGAAGCCGCAUGUCGGAGGGUUCGAGCCCCUCCAGGAGCA
rnacentral:tRNA from 1 species